UGGCACUCUUAUUGGGCCUAAAGCGUCCGUAGCUGGCCGUGCAAGUCCGUCGGGAAAUCCACUGGCUCAACCAGUGGGCGUCCGGCGGAAACUGUGCGGCUUGGGACCGGAAGGCUCGAGAGGUACGUCCGGGGUAGGAGUGAAAUCCCGUAAUCCCGAACGGACCACCGAUGGCGAAAGCAUCUCGAGAAAACGGAUCCGACAGUGAGGGACGAAAGCUAGGGUCUCGAACC
rnacentral:rRNA from 1 species